UAGGGAAUAUUGGACAAUGGGGGCAACCCUGAUCCAGCCAUGCCGCGUGAGUGAAGAAGGCCUUAGGGUUGUAAAGCUCUUUCGCCCGCGAAGAUAAUGACGGUAGCGGGAGAAGAAGCCCCGGCUAACUCCGUGCCAGCAGCCGCGGUAAUACGGAGGGGGCUAGCGUUGUUCGGAAUUACUGGGCGUAAAGCGUACGUAGGCGGAUGCGCAAGUUGGGGGUGAAAUCCCGGGGCUUAGCCUCGGAAUUGCCCUCAAAACUGCACGUCUUGAGACCGAGAGAGGUAAGGGGAAUUCCUAGUGUAGAGGUGAAAUUCGUAGAUAUUAGGAAGAACACCAGUGGCGAAGGCGCCUUACUGGCUCGGUACUGACGCUGAGGUACGAAAGCGUGGGGAGCAAACA
rnacentral:rRNA from 1 species